rnacentral:lncRNA from 1 species
AGAGACAAAACACCAUUUCUUUUAUUUUAACAAUGGUAGUGCAUCUAUUAUCUGAUAAAGCAUUCGUCAUGCAUGAACUACUAAUCAACAAUUGAAAAACUUUGAACUCUCAGAAGUUAUGCAGAUCAGAUUUGAUCUGUAGAGAAAAAUUGGCUGAGUACAUAUCUGGAUGCAUGACUGUUUGAGCAGAUGUUUCCUUUAAUCUUUGUUGUCUUACUAACCUUUCACUAUCACAUUUCAUUCACAGGAUAACUGGUGUCAUGCACAGUCCAUCAAGUAAUACCAGAUUUCUAGUUCAUACAGAUUGAGAAAUAUUUGAACUUCUACAAGAAUUUCUCCAAGGAUUGGCCCUGGCAUGAGACACUUCACAUCUGUCACAAGAGAUGACAAAUGAACCUCUCCCGGUCUAGAGAACUGAACUGUCAUACUGGAUGGGGAUCCCCGGCAGGUCCAAGAUGUCUCCAUCUUCUCCUAGAACUUGACCCCUUGCCUUGUAUGGUAAAUAAGCUAUAUGUAUCAGGUUAUAAUGCUUGAAACAUAAAGAUACUAACAUCCUGUUUUAUCCUCUGGAAGUUCUCCUUUGAUUCCAUUACUCAGUUAUAAAAGGGGAUCUUCUUCCUAAUUUUGUAAUGUUAUUUACAGGGAAUACGAUCCUUAUCUUGUAUCUAGAUUUUCCUUUGUUUAUGACCAACUUAAAUAUUUGCCAGGCUUAAUGCUUGCAACCAGUAUGAUUCAGAUUUGAGUUGCUUCUUACCGAAGUGUCAGUUUAAAGAUAAUCUCUAUUAUAAAUCUGACCUGAUGGAAAAAAGUCCUGUUCUGUCCUGUCCCCAAAGAUGAUAUCAGCUGUUGAAUAUUUGCAUGCAAGGUAUUGGUUUCUCUCUACUUUCGCCUGUCCUUAUUGUUAUUUUAUAGUAGCAGAUUCGUUUAUACAUAAUUGUUUAUUACCUGCUAUAAACAGGCAUGUUUAUACAAAUUAAAAAUAGUUAGGGUCAUGCAUAAAGUAAAAUAAACUUGACAGUCUGAACUAUUAAAGGCACUUGAAACUGAAUAAACUAAAACAGGCUUGGACAAAAUUAUGCAAGGGUGAAAGGUAAAAGAAAACAAAGAAGAUGAUUUUGAGGGAUUGUUUCUUGAGAUAAUUGAAUUUUCAAAUAACAAAUAUAUGAAAUAUAAAAGAAGGAGAAAAGAAGUUGAUAUAUCCAGACUGUAACCAGCUUGGAGAUGGGUCCUCCUUUUGAAAAGUUGUUAGUUAUUGAGAAGAGUAAUUGGUUGCAUUGCAAUGUGUCAGAUUUGUGAGCCUGUCGGGGUUAGCAUCACGUAUAUAUAUAUAUAUAUGUGUGUGUGUGUGUGUGGAGUAGAAACGAGUCAUAGUUACAGUGGGAUUGACUGAAGUUUGGAAGGAAGCUGAAGUCGCAGCAGCUUGCUUGCUGGAGUAGAGAUCCAAUGGCAUAGUUGGUGCAACAAUACAACCCUGAAAUUAAUGCCUACUGGGUUGAAGGUUGAGGUUGAGGUUAGUGAGAUUGGUGGAUGGUUGUGGUUGCCUACUGGGGCCGGUAAGCAAAGAGAGAUAUGUAGGCAUACCGCAUAUAUGGAGAGUAUGAACCAACCUCAACUCAACUGGGUCCUGUCCUGUUUGUUUAGUAUCUUCAAAGUAUUCUUCUCACCUUCAAGAACAAGACCCGUUUUUUCUUAAUUUCUUAAUAUAUAUAUUCAAUUCCUGACCAAAAUGUUUUAUCAACUUUUUAAACUCCCAUGAUUUAGCGGGUGAUACAAAAAAAGUAUGUACUCCAUCAACAAGUAAAGGGGAUGAUGAAGAGAUAUGUAAUGAUGCGUAAAGAAUAAUGUAAAGUUGACUAUAAUCACAUAUUUGUACUUUGUGAGUAAUAGCAUCUUCAUAAUUUAGCCUUAUUCCCCC